GAUGAACGCUGGCGGCGUGCCUAAUACAUGCAAGUCGAGCGAACAGACGAGGAGCUUGCUCCUCUGACGUUAGCGGCGGACGGGUGAGUAACACGUGGAUAACCUACCUAUAAGACUGGGAUAACUUCGGGAAACCGGAGCUAAUACCGGAUAAUAUAUUGAACCGCAUGGUUCAAUAGUGAAAGACGGUUUUGCUGUCACUUAUAGAUGGAUCCGCGCCGCAUUAGCUAGUUGGUAAGGUAACGGCUUACCAAGGCAACGAUGCGUAGCCGACCUGAGAGGGUGAUCGGCCACACUGGAACUGAGACACGGUCCAGACUCCUACGGGAGGCAGCAGUAGGGAAUCUUCCGCAAUGGGCGAAAGCCUGACGGAGCAACGCCGCGUGAGUGAUGAAGGUCUUCGGAUCGUAAAACUCUGUUAUUAGGGAAGAACAACUGUGUAAGUAACUAUGCACGUCUUGACGGUACCUAAUCAGAAAGCAACGGCUAACUACGUG
rnacentral:rRNA from 1 species